rnacentral:lncRNA from 1 species
GACUGCGACUUAUGUCUAGAUUGGCCUAGACGUCCUAGUUGAGUCUUAGUCCUGGGAAGGGUCAGGCGGGUGGACGCUGAGUGAGGGACAGUGUUGUGUAGGACAAGGGUGUGGGCAGAUAGGGGCUAAAUGCUUGGGACGGUCAGCGAGAACCGCGUAUCCGCUCCGCCGAGGCAGGGCAUGAACCAAAGAGCGACAACAAACUACCAGGGGGAACCACGGGCAGGAUGGGCAAGGAAGCAGAGGACACGACACUCUUACUUUUGGGGCAGGGCCAGGAAAGGCCACCAAGACCGGCUACCGUGACACAACUCUUUAUCUGAUUCAGUGGGUGGCUCUGAAAAGAGCCUUUUUAGGAGCUCGCGGGGGUUAUAUCACAGAGACGCGGGCCGACGCGAGCAGUGGCCUCACUUGCCCUUCGCCUUAUGGUGGCUCUCCGUCUUCUUGGGCAGCAGCACGGCCUGGAUGUUGGGCAGGACGCCGCCCUGCGCGAUCGUCACUUUGCCCAGCAGCUUGUUGAGCUCCUCGUCGUUGCGGAUGGCCAGCUGCAGGUGGCGCGGGAUGAUGCGCGUCUUCUUGUUGUCGCGGGCCGCGUUGCCCGCCAGCUCCAGGAUCUCGGCCGUUAGGUACUCCAGCACCGCCGCCAUGUAUACCGGCGCGCCGGCACCCACACGCUCCGCGUAGUUGCCCUUGCGCAGCAGCCGGUGCACACGCCCCACCGGGAACUGUAGCCCGGCCCGGGAAGACCGCGACUUGGCCUUGGCGCGGGCCUUGCCUCCUUGCUUGCCACGACCGGACAUCACGAAAGCGCAAACAGACGAACGGCCACAACCAGGAAACGGUACUCCGGCGCCGACGCCUCACUCUUUUAUAGACGCAGACCCGAUUGUCCGCCCGACGCUCUCAUUGGCUCACACGCGUCCUGACGCCGUGGCCAAUAGGAGCGCGCGGACAGAAGCCUCUCAUUUACAUAAGACCGGCUCCCUCGCCCCGGCGCCGCCCUGGAACGCGCGAAUCACGACGCGCGUGCUCGGUGGCUUCAUUUGCGUGCGGCCGUCGUUGCGACACUCCGCGGGUCGCCGGGCGGCUGGGCCUGCUCGCUGUUUCUCCUGCUGAGGAAGCUAACAGGAAUAGAGCCGGUAGCACGCGUAAACUUGGCCACAGGGCAUGGUGUACCAGGUGUAGGUGACUGGCACAGGCUGUGAGUUCUUUCCUCAGCUCCAUCUUUGUGCCCAAACUGGCGAGUCGUCCCGGCAGAGCCAGGCAGCCUUACCCUGUUUCCUGUAUGAAACCACCCACGGUGUCUCUGCUGCUUCCUGGGUUUUUUGUUUUUUUGUUUUUUUCUCUUCUACCUCCCAUUGACAUUAGAAAUCAUUUCUACUCAAGUUACAUGUGCCCUUGAAUGAGGAGUAUUAAGUGUAGGGGUAUCUUUCGACUUUGCAGGGGAGUUACAUAAAAUUAGUGUUAAUAUAUUGUCAGAAUGUAGGAAAGCAUUAGGCAGUCCAUUUAUUAAAGUAUCAGCAUCGGAGGCGUCUGUGAAGUAACUUGUCUUUUGGGUCAGAAAUUGCUUAACUUGGAUCUUGUUAUUUUUUAGUGCAGUUUUCAGUUUACAUACGGUGACUAAAUUUCCUGUUUCAGGUCACAAGAUUUAAGAGGGAUUUACGUACAGCUUGUUAAAGAUUGAAGUCUUAAUGGCACUUUGUAUGUUAUUUCAUUGUAGUUUGGCAUAUUCUGGGAUGUAGGUCAAUGGCACAGUACUUUCCUAGUUAUAUACGAGGUCUUAAGCACCACACCAGAAAUUCAAUCAGAAUUGUUUAGCCACACAGACAUUGUUGCUUGUUUUCUGUUUGCCUUAGUUUCACUCCCCCCACCCCCUGUUUCCCUGAGUGUCUCCCACCUGCCUUUGCUGCUCUUCAGUCAGCUCUGCCUCUCCUUUGGCCCUGUCACAUUGCUAUUCCCAUAGUGUCAAUGCUCUUCUCUCAUCCCUGCAGAUUGGGUCCCAGGCUACCUUGGGUAUUUCUGCUCCAAGUUACCACAUGCUUCUAAAAACAGAAAGAGAUACACUUGAGCCAGACUCUUGUAUAAUUAACUCCCAGGGAACGUCCUAAACAAGUAUCUACCCAAGGGUAUGGAAGUGGUUUGGCUCCACACUGAGCUGCUUCGGGAACAUUGUCCCUAAAGAAGCAGGCUCUUCUGAAAAACAUAAAUAGGUUAGCUGAAAGCUGACUGUAAGUGUGGUGUCUCUGUCUUCGCUUGAUGUCUGUCUCCUUUGGCUAAAGGCAGAGUGAAGUUACUGUUUUACCUUUCACUUGCAUCAUAGCAAAUGAGGGCCGUUACCCACGAGGUCAGGGCCACUCCCUAGAGUACAAGUGAGAGUCAGAGUGAUAUCUUCCCGAAUCUUGCAGGUUCAAACCGUAGCACUGACCAGAGAACCAUGCAUCUGCCUCCUAGGAUUCCUUAAUUUUGCUAACAUCUUGCCUGCCCAGGUUCCUCCUCUACUUAAGGCUUCAAGCUCAUUCAUGUCAAUAUCUGUAGAUAGACAGAUUUUCGGGGGGUGGGGUUUGCUGGGCCUAUAUUCUUCUCAAUAUAGCUUCUUGACUAAAUCUCUGAUUUUUCUUUUAGACACGUGGUUGAGCCUUGCCUUAGGGUGUCUACAGCCCAAUCCUUUACCCUCAAACCUUUGGCUACUUGUUCAUUUUGUUGCAUAUCAUGAGGACACUGGCAUUGGUUUACAACUUCAGGCUUUGUGGACAGGCUGAAGUGAAAGCUAUGUUGGUUGACAGUACUGAUUUUGUUACCCUACUAGGUGAAGGAAUAAACCUUGGAACUAA